AUUGAACGCUGGCGGCAGGCCUAACACAUGCAAGUCGAACGGAUGAAGGGAGCUUGCUCCUGGAUUCAGCGGCGGACGGGUGAGUAAUGCCUAGGAAUCUGCCUGGUAGUGGGGGAUAACGUCCGGAAACGGGCGCUAAUACCGCAUACGUCCUGAGGGAGAAAGUGGGGGAUCUUCGGACCUCACGCUAUCAGAUGAGCCUAGGUCGGAUUAGCUAGUUGGUGGGGUAAAGGCCUACCAAGGCGACGAUCCGUAACUGGUCUGAGAGGAUGAUCAGUCACACUGGAACUGAGACACGGCCCAGACUCCUACGGGAGGCAGCAGUGGGGAAUAUUGGACAAUGGGCGAAAGCCUGAUCCAGCCAUGCCGCGUGUGUGAAGAAGGUCUUCGGAUUGUAAAGCACUUUAAGUUGGGAGGAAGGGCAGUAAGUUAAUACCUUGCUGUUUUGACGUUACCAACAGAAUAAGCACCGGCUAACUUCGUG
rnacentral:rRNA from 1 species